UACGGAGGAGGCAAGCGUUAUCCGGAAUUAUUGGGCGUAAAGCGUCCGUAGGUGGUUUAUCAAGUCUGCUGUCAAAGGGUGGGGCUUAACCUCAUAAAGGCAGUGGAAACUGAUAGGCUAGAGUGCGAUAGGGGCAAGGGGAAUUCCCAGUGUAGCGGUGAAAUGCGUAGAUAUUGGGAAGAACACCGGUGGCGAAAGCGCCUUGCUGGGUCUGCACUGACACUGAGGGACGAAAGCUAGGGGAGCGAAA
rnacentral:rRNA from 1 species